CAAGAGCGUAUGUAAAAGUUGUUGCAGUUAAAAAGCUCGUAGUUGAACCUUGGGUUUGGUUGGCCGGUCCGCUUUUUUGCGAGUACUGGAUUCAACCGAGCCUUUCCUUCUGGCUAACCAGUCGUUUCGGCGGCUGGCGAACCAGGAUUUUUACUUUGAGAAAAUUAGAGUGUUCAAAGCAGGCAUUAGCUUGAAUAUAUUAGCAUGGAAUAAUAGAAUAGGACGUUAUGGUUCUAUUUUGUUGGUUUCUAGGACCAUCGUAAUGAUUAAUAGGGACGGUCGGGGGCAUCAGUAUUCAGUUGUCAGAGGUGAAAUUCUUGGAUUUACUGAAGACUAACUACUGCGAAAGCAUUUGCCGAGGACGUUUUCAUUAA
rnacentral:rRNA from 1 species